CCUACGGGGGGCUGCAGUGGGGAAUAUUGGGCAAUGGGCGAAAGCCUGAUCCAGCCAUGCCGCGUGUGUGAAGAAGGCCUUCGGGUUGUAAAGCACUUUCAGUGGGGAAGAAAGCCUUGGGGCUAAUACCCUCGAGGAAGGACAUCACCCACAGAAGAAGCACCGGCUAACUCCGUGCCAGCAGCCGCGGUAAUACGGAGGGUGCGAGCGUUAAUCGGAAUUACUGGGCGUAAAGCGCGCGUAGGCGGUCUGAUAAGCCGGUUGUGAAAGCCCCGGGCUCAACCUGGGAACGGCAUCCGGAACUGUCAGGCUAGAGUGCAGGAGAGGAAGGUAGAAUUCCCGGUGUAGCGGUGAAAUGCGUAGAGAUCGGGAGGAAUACCAGUGGCGAAGGCGGCCUUCUGGACUGACACUGACGCUGAGGUGCGAAAGCGUGGGUAGCAAACAGGAUUAGAUACCCGAGUAGUC
rnacentral:rRNA from 1 species